GUCGGCCUGGUUCGUGCCCGUAAGGUGUCCAAAUACCUAAGCACUCUUUCUAGGCUUAAAACUAAGAGAGAACGAGUCGCACUAAGUGACUGCUUGCGGCAGCUAUCUGACUCAGUGUAGGAGUUGAGCAGCACACUGGGUGAGUUGAAACAUUUGAGAGCCGAAACGUUCCAGUGGCAGAUGAGCAAUGCGGAGACAUGAGUGAGUGCGGCUUUGACGAACAAGGACACGUGUCUUGAUGGGUUU
rnacentral:misc_RNA from 1 species